GUCAUAAAACAGCAGUAAACUAUUCUGCUAUGCCGGAUCCUUAAGGGAUCUGAUGUCGGAUUGCAACCUGAUAGUUGAUCCUUUCUACUUGCUCGUGAUCGAGAAGGAAGGGCUGGACGCCCUUGGCCGAAAGGCCGGAUGCUUUUAGCCUGAGGGCUGGACGUCUUUAGUAGAAGGGGCCGGACGCUUCUAGCUGAAGAGCCGGACGCCUUUUAGCCGGAGGGGCUGGACGCCUUCUUUAGCCGGACACCCAUAUAGAUUUUACUCUAUAUCCACUAACCUCUUUUUGGUUUAAACACAAGGGAUUUCAAAUUCUUGUCUAUGGACUGUUAUUGGAUUGUCUUACAUACAACUCCAAGAUCAUGUCGUGAUCAAUUUCUUUUGCACACUAUAUGCAGCUGCUUUUGUUUUCAGUCCAUGAAUCAGCUUAGAAACAAUGCUGUUCUUUUAUCUUAUCCAGUGAUCCAUAUGCUGCUUACUACAUCAUUAUUGUAUCUAUUUCUUUCUAAUGACCAGACCUUUUGUCAAUUUCGAAAAUCUGUAGCAGCAUCCACCACAUAGGAGUUUAUCUCCUUAUAAUCUGUUCCUUUAAUCUCUGUUAGUACCUUGUGUAACAAGCUGUGAUCUAAUGCUGUUAAUAGGAAGACAUGAACACUCUAGACCUCGUGAUCAUGUGCCUUCUCUCACGGUUUCUUUAUCUCACAAGAUCCAUCUAUUUCACUGGUUUAUCAGAUGGCGUUUCUGUAUAUGUAUAUGGCCUACGCCCAUCUCUCCUUUAGAUACCUUGAACCUCCAAGUUUAUCUUUCUAAUUUUAUGAUCUUUCAUGAUUGUAUGAGUACUCUUUUGUGGGUUCAUGAUCCUCGUUCAUCUCUUUUCUAUGAACUCAAGUGCUAUAACUUUAUGUAUCCUUUAUAGAGGUUUAUGUGUCGACACUCUUUGUGUGGUUCCAUUAUGUUCCAGACAUGAUUUAAUCACUUUGAGAUUUCAUUAUCCAGGACCUUUGUUACCUAGUAGCUUGGCGUCCCAAGACUACAUGGUUUGGUACCUUAGAUGUGUAGCUGCGCAGCUUUUUCUCAAUGUCUGUAUGGUUUCUCUUAUAACCUCGGAUCUGUAUUCUAUGCACCAUUCUUAUUCGAGAUUCCUUUAUCUUAUGGAACACUUGGUCUAUCUUGUAUAGACUCUAUAGCAACUUGAUUAUGUCUCUUCUAGGACAUUCGAUUUCGAUUGUUACUAAGCUGGUUAGUCACUUUCUCGGGUCAGUGUCUGGCAUGUCGAUUAGCUAGCCUUUUAUAAUCUUUUCUUACAUUGGACAUCUACAAUUCUAAUCCGAGGAUCUUGCCAAGACCAGGAUGGUUGAUACCAUUCAUUCUUAUCAUUCUUUGCUCUUUAUACCAGCUUAUAAUCUUUCUCCUUUAAUGUUUGGGUAGUCGGAUGCAAUCCGUGUACUUGGCCACAAUCUGAUCACCCAUGUUUGGCUCAAGUUUUCUUUGAAUUCGUGGGAGAAAGUAAUACUCCUAUCCAACAUAUAUUCCCAAUCCUCUUCUGAGGUUCCAUCUUAGACGGCACACAUAUGUAUGUGGUGGUUUAUUCAAAAUCUCUUAAGAUGGUGUAUGUCUGGUUUUUUUGACCCGUUUAUACUCUGGGAUGGGAAUAUCUAUGCUCACUUAUAUGGCCUGAUGCAUAUUAUCAUUCUAUACAUGUAAAUUCAUAAUUUCCCCAAGCUUAUAGACUUUUAGAGUCUUAGUCUUAUAGGUAAUGGCUUACAUGGCCGAACCUUUAUAGGUAAUGGAUUAUGUGCGGCCAAGCCUGCACUAUACGGCCAAGUCACGGCCAAGCCGUUUAUAGGUGAUGGCCUUUGCGGCAGACCUGUUCAUAACAUGGUCUCUUCGGCCGAGUAAUGGCCUGUUUGGUUUGGCCGUUUGUAUCAUGGCCUUCUACGGCCGAGGAACGGUCUUUUAUGGCCGAGCCAUUUAUAACAUGGUCUUUUAGACCAUAGUGGUACACGAACUUGUAGUAUUGAUCAUGGGUUUAUCCUCUCUCCCCCUCAUGACCAUACUACAAUUUUGUGAUGCUUGGGACAAUUAAGCCUAAUGAGUUUCCCUUUGUGUACAUGUUUCACAACGUGAGAUUUUUACGGGAUAACUCUGUGCCUUUUCAAUAUUAAUCUUUGCAUCAAAUUUAGACUAGGAUGGCUAAUCCUAUCAUGCCAUAAAGUGUAAAAUUUCGUGGGAUAUAUCAGUAUAGUCACCACUUCUCUUGCCUCUUAUCAUACUGAUCUUGUAGCAUAGUUUUAAAUUAGUGGAUAUCAUAGGUAUAGUCUUGACCACUUCUCUUAUAAGGUCUUAGGCAUUUUUUUAAACCUGAAGGAACUUGUCUCCUUCUUGCCCAUUGUUUCUACUUGGAAACCAUUCAUUAUAACUUCAAUGGGUCACAUAUCAUUGGGUGUGUAUAAUGCCUUAUAGGCAAUGGCUUAGCCAUAGUUUCUUUACUAUGCUUACU
rnacentral:ncRNA from 1 species